rnacentral:rRNA from 1 species
GACGAACGCUGGCGGCAUGCUUAACACAUGCAAGUCGAACGCAGCAUCGGGGCUUGCUCCGAUGGCUGAGUGGCAGACGGGUGAGUAACACGUGGGAACUUACCCUUUAGACUGGGACAACCAUUGGAAACGAUGGCUAAUACCGGAUACGCCCUGGGGGGGAAAGCAAAAAUGCGCGAAGGGGGAGGCCCGCGGCAGAUUAGGUAGUUGGUGGGGUAAAGGCCCACCAAGCCAAUGAUCUGUAGCUGGUUUGAGAGGAGGAUCAGCCACACUGGGAGUGAGACACGGCCCAGACUCCUACGGGAGGCAGCAGUGGGGAAUAUUGGACAAUGGGGGAAACCCUGAUCCAGCAAUGCCGCGUGAAUGAAGAAGGCCUUAGGGUUGUAAAAUUCUUUUGUUCGUGACGAUAAUGACGGUAGCGGACGAAUAAGCCCUGGCUAACUCUGUGCCAGCCGCCGCUGUAA